rnacentral:rRNA from 2 species
ACCCUUUAAUGUUUGAUGUUCUAACGUGGACCCGUAAUCCGGGUUGCGGACAGUGUCUGGUGGGUAGUUUGACUGGGGCGGUCUCCUCCUAAAGAGUAACGGAGGAGCACGAAGGUUGGCUAAUCCUGGUCGGACAUCAGGAGGUUAGUGCAAUGGCAUAAGCCAGCUUGACUGCGAGCGUGACGGCGCGAGCAGGUGCGAAAGCAGGUCAUAGUGAUCCGGUGGUUCUGAAUGGAAGGGCCAUCGCUCAACGGAUAAAAGGUACUCCGGGGAUAACAGGCUGAUACCGCCCAAGAGUUCAUAUCGACGGCGGUGUUUGGCACCUCGAUGUCGGCUCAUCACAUCCUGGGGCUGAAGUAGGUCCCAAGGGUAUGGCUGUUCGCCAUUUAAAGUGGUACGCGAGCUGGGUUUAGAACGUCGUGAGACAGUUCGGUCCCUAUCUGCCGUGGGCGCUGGAGAACUGAGGGGGGCUGCUCCUAGUACGAGAGGACCGGAGUGGACGCAUCACUGGUGUUCGGGUUGUCAUGCCAAUGGCACUGCCCGGUAGCUAAAUGCGGAAGAGAUAAGUGCUGAAAGCAUCUAA